rnacentral:lncRNA from 1 species
AAGUACCUACCACGCCACCCGCUACCUGUAAUAAUCCAUCUGAAGAGGUCGCCGGGCAGCGCCUCGGCAGACAGACUGACCUGCGGGGAGGUGCGGUUUCCAGUGGCGCGGGACAGCCGGCUCCGAGAAGGAACUGGGACCUUUGCCUAGGGCAAGACGUCAACAGGAACCCGCAGGCCCGGCCUGGACACCUGCUGCCCUCACUGGAAGCUUUAACUCCCACUCGAGUCUCUUGGCGUCGUCAGUGCCAGGAGCGCUUGGAUUGGGAUGGGGACGGAGAAGGGUGCCUCGCUCGCCGAGCCCCGCUGCCCUUGGGGACCUGGCAAAGUCGAGGUUUCCUCACAGCGUUGAGAUUGAGACUGGGGGUCGUGGUCUCAAAUAGUCAAGACCCCCUGCUGGGAGGAGCUUCUAUCCUGCUCUGUGGAAGAAAUGGGCAUGCCAGAUGCCUGGAAGAUCAGAGGCUCACAUUCCAGCUGUAGGUGGCCCACCAGGUGUCAACAACUGUAGAGUUCCAUCAAGAGUCAUCAUUUUACAGUUACAAGUCGGAGGGGCCUUCACAGAUCCGUCAGGCUCAACACUGCCUCCUUAGUGAGCCUGUGAACCACCCAAGACGGCUGGUCAUCAGUGUCAUCCUCUUCCUUUUCCGGACAACUAUCUUUAAAAGAAAAAAAAAGAGUGUCUUUGAAUGUAUCCAUUUUAUCCCCAAAUAAUCUUGUUUAAUAAAUUCCUUAUUAGG